CAGCAGUCGCCGCGGGAAUACAGAGGGUGCAAGCGUUAAUCGGAAUUACUGGGCGUAAAGCGCGCGUAGGUGGUUUGUUAAGUUGGAUGUGAAAGCCCCGGGCUCAACCUGGGAACUGCAUCCAAAACUGGCAAGCUAGAGUACGGUAGAGGGUGGUGGAAUUUCCUGUGUAGCGGUGAAAUGCGUAGAUAUAGGAAGGAACACCAGUGGCGAAGGCGACCACCUGGACUGAUACUGACACUGAGGUGCGAAAGCGUGGGGAGCAAACAGGAUUAGAUACCCCGGUAGUCCCUGUCUCUUAUAC
rnacentral:rRNA from 1 species